rnacentral:rRNA from 1 species
AUGAACGCUGGCGGCGUGCCUAAUACAUGCAAGUCGAACGCUUCACUUCGGUGAAGAGUGGCGAACGGGUGAGUAAUACAUAAGUAACCUGGCAUCUACAGGGGGAUAACUGAUGGAAACGUCAGCUAAGACCGCAUAGGUGUAGAGAUCGCAUGAACUCUAUAUGAAAAGUGCUACGGGACUGGUAGAUGAUGGACUUAUGGCGCAUUAGCUUGUUGGUAGGGUAACGGCCUACCAAGGCGACGAUGCGUAGCCGACCUGAGAGGGUGACCGGCCACACUGGGACUGAGACACGGCCCAGACUCCUACGGGAGGCAGCAGUAGGGAAUUUUCGGCAAUGGGGGAAACCCUGACCGAGCAACGCCGCGUGAAGGAAGAAGUAAUUCGUUAUGUACACUUCUGUCAUAGAGGAAGAACGGUGGAUAUAGGGAAUGAUAUCCAAGUGACGGUACUCUAUAAGAAAGCCACGGCUAACUACGUG